UUAAUUUUAGAUGAAGUAGCUAUGAAGAAUGACUCCCCUUCCACAACAUUGGAGAAGUUGGGCCUGAAGUCUGCACCUGCACAUUCCUAUGACUUCUCAGAGUCCUGUGAACUAUUACUGAGGAGACAAACCAUGCAGGAAACAAUG
rnacentral:snoRNA from 1 species